GCCCUUGUAGUUCAACGGAUAGAACGGAAGUUUCCUAAACUUUAAAUGGCGGUUCGAUUCCGCCUGAGGGUA
rnacentral:tRNA from 1 species